GUCAGGAGUCCUCUUGAAACCAAUAUAAAGCUUCGGACAGAAGUCUUCUUGUGAAAAGGAAAUACUCCUUAUUACUUGAGGAGCGCCAGAGAAGUUUACACAAUGGCAUCUCUAAACCCUCUGUCCAAGGCCAACACCACCUUCUCUCUGGCUUUGCUCCAAAAGUUUGGAGAUGACGACAAGACGGCAAACAUCUUCUACUCCCCUUUCAGCAUCUCUUCAGCCCUGGCUAUGGUGAUGCUGGGGGCCAGAGG